AGGAUCAUUAUCGAAUAAACUUGUGCAGGCUGUUGCUGGCCUUCUGGCAUGUGCACGCUUGUCUUUUUUAUUUCCUCCACUGUGCACACAUUGUAGACCUAGAGUCCUCGUUGAUUCGUAUCGAGUUGGGACUGCUGUGCUUUGAUUGAAGUCAGCUUUUCCUUGUGUAUUCCAGGUCUAUGUCAUUUUCACAAACUCAUAUGUUUAGAAUGUUGAACCAGGUCCWUUUGUACCUAUAAAGUUAAAUUAUACAACUUUCAGCAACGGAUCUCUUGGCUCUCGCAUCGAUGAAGAACGCAGCGAAAUGCGAUAAGUAAUGUGAAUUGCAGAAUUCAGUGAAUCAUCGAAUCUUUGAACGCAUCUUGCGCUCCUUGGUAUUCCGAAGAGCAUGCCUGUUUGAGUGUCAUUUAAGUUCUCAACCACAUCAAGGUGUGGCUUGGACAUGGGGUUUYUUUUGCAGGCUUCUGUGCAAGUCUGCUUCCCUGAAAUGCAUUAGUGGUAUCUGAGCAGUACAGGUGUGAUAAUUAUCUAUGCCCUUUGUAUGCUGCAUGAACAAGAUUACACUGCUUCUAACAAGUGAAUAACAACAUUUGAUAAAUUUGACCUCAAAUCAGGUAGGACUACCCGCUGAACUUAAGCAUAUCAAUAAGCGGAGGAAAAGAAACUAACAAGGAUUCCCCUAGUAACUGCGAGUGAAGCGGGAAAAGCUCAAAUUUGAAAUCUGGCGGUUUUUGACUGUCCGAGUUGUAAUCUAGAGAAGUGUUACCUGUGCUGGACCGUGUACAAGUCUCCUGGAAUGGAGCAUCAUAGAGGGUGAGAAUCCCGUCUUUGACAUGGACUACCUGUACAUUAUGGUGUGCUCUCAAAGAGUCGAGUUGUUUGGGAAUGCAGCUCAAAAUGGGUGGUAAAUGCCAUCUAAAGCUAAAUAUUGGCGAGAGACCGAUAGCGAACAAGUACCGUGAGGGAAAGAUGAAAAGAACUUUGGAAAGAGAGUUAAACAGUACGUGAAAUUGCUGAAAGGGAAACGCUUGAAGUCAGUCACGUUGGCUAGAAAUCAGCUUUGCUUUUGCUUGGUGUACUUUCUGGUUGACGGGUCAGCAUCAAUUUUGACCACUGGAUAAAGUCUUUGGGAAUGUGGCAUCUUAGGAUGUGUUAUAGCCCAUUGUCACAUACAGUGGUUGGGAUUGAGGAACUCAGCACGCCGCAAG
rnacentral:rRNA from 1 species